rnacentral:lncRNA from 1 species
CGCCAGACCAGAUCUCCAGAGAUGGAGGUGGUCGGCCUCAGGGCCCAGCCAUGAGAAGGUGUAUGAGGAGGCAUCGCAUCAGGCGCCCACCCUGUGCUUGCAGGGCCUGACCAUGAGCGCCGCCUUCAGUUUUACACCUUAGGCACCCCACUUGGCUCCCCUUCGUCCCAGCCCUGCCAGACCCACCCUUGACUCUGUGUUUCCUUUCUGGAAACUCGAGAGGCCAUUUCUACUUAAAGAGUCCUCACCUGGCCUACCAGCGACCAGAUCUGCCCAAGUGCAGAAGAAACACUUGGUUAUCUCCUCUUUCAUCGUCCCCGCUCGAGCAUAAAACAACAGAAAGUUUCCUAUCGGAACAGCAUGCUUGUGCCAAAAACAAAUUAGAAACAACAACAACUUCUCAAAAUUUUGAGCAAAAUGAUGGUGACCGUGUUCUGGAAAUGGAGCAAAGUGAGUGAGCCACUGUCACUGUUACAUCUGACAAUCACUACUGGUACUUGGCUAAAUAUUGCAGCCACCUCUUCAGGCUACACAUGUCAGGUGUACCAGAAGCACCUUCCGCCUCCAGCUCACUUCUGGGAGAUAUUUAGAGCUGACUCCUCUCCCCUCCCCAGUCUCCAGCCACCAGCAAGCUCUCUCCUUGGUGUCCCCAGCUCCUGCCCCUCAUGCUGAUAGAAGCAUUGCCCGCUGUUCUUCCUGUUCUUACAGGUUUCCUAGUGCCUGUGACCAAACACCUUGUGUGUGCUCCCCAGGAGAGAAAACCGCUAGCAGCCUCAGACAGGUGAGGAGUUGUUCCUCCUCAGACCCAGGAAUCAUUUCCCAGUGGAAUGACACGGUGAAGUGGAUCGCCA